UUGAACGCUGGCGGCAGGCCUAACACAUGCCAGUCGAGCGGAUGAAGGGAGCUUGCUCCUGGAUUCAGCGGCGGACGGGUGAGUAAUGCCUAGGAAUCUGCCUGGUAGUGGGGGAUAACGUCCGGAAACGGGCGCUAAUACCGCAUACGUCCUGAGGGAGAAAGUGGGGGAUCUUCGGACCUCACGCUAUCAGAUGAGCCCAGGUCGGAUUAGCUAGUUGGUGGGGUAAAGGCCUACCAAGGCGACGAUCCGUAACUGGUCUGAGAGGAUGAUCAGUCACACUGGAACUGAGACACGGUCCAGACUCCUACGGGAGGCAGCAGCGGGGAAUAUUGGACAAUGGGCGAAAGCCUGAUCCAGCCAUGCCGCGUGUGUGAAGAAGGUCUUCGGAUUGUAAAGCACUUUAAGUUGGGAGGAAGGGCAGUAAGUUAAUACCUUGCUGUUUUGACGUUACCAACAGAAUAAGCACCGGCUAACUUCGUG
rnacentral:rRNA from 1 species